rnacentral:rRNA from 1 species
CCCUUAGAUGUCCUGGGCUGCACGCGCGCUACACUGAUGUGUCCAGUAAGCACCUAACCUCUUCCGAAAGGAACGGGUAACCUUUGCAAAGCACAUCGUGAUGGGGAUAGAUUAUUGCAAUUAUUAGGCUUGAACGAGGAAUUCCUAGUAAGCACAAGUCAUCAGCUUGUGUUGAUUACGUCCCUGCCCUUUGUACACACCGCCCGUCGCUCCUACCGAUUGAAUGUUCCGGUGAGCUCUUCGGACUGCGCGGUCUGCAGUUUCUGCGUUCCGUGCGGAAAGUUGCGCAAACCUUAACAUUUAGAGGAAGGAGAAGUCGUAACA